rnacentral:rRNA from 1 species
GUAAGGAAUAUUGGACAAUGGAGGCAACUCUGAUCCAGCCAUGCCGCGUGAAGGAUUAAGGCCCUAUGGGUUGUAAACUUCUUUUAGACGGGACAAAACCCCUUUACGUGUAAAGGGUUGAUGGUACUGUCAGAAUAAGCAUCGGCUAACUUCGUGCCAGCAGCCGCGGUAAUACGAAGGAUGCAAGCGUUAUCCGGAAUUAUUGGGUUUAAAGGGUGCGUAGGCGGACUAAUAAGUCAGUGGUGAAAGCCUGCAGCUUAACUGCAGAAUUGCCGUUGAUACUGUUAGUCUUGAGUACAGUUGAGGUAGGCGGAAUGUGUCAUGUAGCGGUGAAAUGCUUAGAUAUGACACAGAACACCGAUUGCGAAGGCAGCUUGCUAAGCUGUAACUGACGCUGAGGCACGAAAGCGUGGGGAGCAAACAGGAUUAGAAACCCCAGUAGUCC